rnacentral:rRNA from 1 species
CCGCCGGCGACCGGCGCACGGGCGAGUAACACGUAUGCAACCUGGCCGUGACAGAUGGAUAACCGGGAGAAAUCCCGCCUAAUACAACAUAAUGCCGGGAGGGGACAUCCCCUGCCGGUCAAAGGGGGCGACCCCGGUCACGGAUGGGCAUGCGGCGCAUUAGGUAGUUGGUGGGGCAACGGCCCACCAAGCCGACGAUGCGUAGGGGUUCUGAGAGGAAGGUCCCCCACAUUGGAACUGAGACACGGUCCAAACUCCUACGGAAGGCAGCAG